UUGGAACAUCGAAAAAAAUAGAAAUAGUAGCGUAGUCAAAACCGAAGAAAUGAAUAAUUUAUAUUCAGUUGCAGGAUAAUCAUUGGGGCUGUUUUCCUAAUCUCUCUGCAAUGGAGGUGAUUAUGGCUACAGAAACGACAUAACACGAUCGACGUGCCGAUAUAGUCCAAAAGCUUAUCUUUCAUUGAUGAUGAGAAUAUUCUAACUUUCGGAAUGGGCGAUCUUAUUUAAAUAUCAUUCCGUCAUUCAAUAUACAUUAGUACUAGCAAAUAUUAAUCUUUCGUCAAACAAACAAACAAUUUCUCGACAAUAACUCAAACGAUUGAUUCAAUUUCGUCUUUUCGAAAUAUUGCAACAUGAUUUUUCUCUGGGAGCCAAGCAGAGUUGGGCGAUUUCAGUGCUUGGAUGGGUAACCGCAUUGACGAUGAAUUUGAACAAGCAGACAAAAGUUCCUGAGUUCCUGUGGCUUUUCUAAGUUUCUGAGAAAAAUUUAUCACAGCGAAAGAGAAAAUGAAGAUUGUGUAUAGACUAUACACAAUGAAUCUAACAUAGUUAUGACAAUAUUUAUAAAUAUGCACUAUGAUUCGAAUAAUAGCGAUGAGUAUAUCCUGCUGCCUGCGGUGAAAUGAAGAAAUACAAAAUAGCUCAUGUUUUCCACAUAUCAUAUGUGAAAGAUCAUCUAAAUGAAACUGUAGUCAAAAAAUAAAUCUAGUCCAGAAAGAAUUACGCCGAGUCGACCUCAAGGAAGUGACUGCAUUGUAAUCAGGUCAAUCUCCGGAGGUUGUCAAUAAAGACGGAAACCGACCGAAGGUAACAGCAAAUCGUUAAUGUUCUUCGGUUCCCGUUCACAAAAGAACUUGAGCUGAUGCGUAGAUUAUCACGUAGGCACAAAAUAAAUAUUGUUGCUCUCUUGCUCCAGGCGUCUGGCGAAUUCGCAGUCAUUCACUGUCCCUUUCUCUGAAACUACUAAACUGUCGGCGGUCAGCAGAGCUGGUCAGUUUGUGGGUGAUACAGUGUGUUCCUUAACUGUUGCAGCGGAUGUGACCGAAAAGAAGGAGGAAGCUGAAUCAUCUGAGGUAAGACCUAGAUCAAAGUAAGGGUCUGAAUGGCAACAGGGGAUUGCUGCAAGGAAGAGAGAUAAAGCUUAUACCCAGAAAUUGAAACAGAAAGUACCAUACACCGAAGACCGUCACCCAAAUAAUGAUGAUAUACAGAAGUAAAAAUGAGAAAUCGAGUGAAAAAUAAAAUCCCAACUCCAUAAAUCUCGAUAUGAACUGUUUGAGAAAAAGAUGUGUAAAUGAGUGGAUAACAAACACCAAUGAUCACCAAAAUAAAUAGAUGUUAAUGAAA